CUACGGGAGGCAGCAGUGGGGAAUAUUGGACAAUGGGCGCAAGCCUGAUCCAGCCAUGCCGCGUGAGUGAUGAAGGCCCUAGGGUUGUAAAGCUCUUUCGGCGGGGAAGAUAAUGACGGUACCCGCAGAAGAAGCCCCGGCUAACUUCGUGCCAGCAGCCGCGGUAAUACGAAGGGGGCUAGCGUUGCUCGGAAUUACUGGGCGUAAAGCGCACGUAGGCGGACUUUUAAGUCGGGGGUGAAAUCCUGGAGCUCAACUCCAGAACUGCCUUCGAAACUGAAAGUCUUGAGUUCGGGAGAGGUGAGUGGAACUGCGAGUGUAGAGGUGAAAUUCGUAGAUAUUCGCAAGAACACCAGUGGCGAAGGCGGCUCACUGGCCCGAUACUGACGCUGAGGUGCGAAAGCGUGGGGAGCAAACAGGAUUAGAUACCCUAGUAGUCC
rnacentral:rRNA from 1 species